rnacentral:rRNA from 1 species
AUACGGAGGGUGCGAGCGUUAAUCGGAAUUACUGGGCGUAAAGCGCGCGUAGGCGGUUUGUUAAGUCGGAUGUGAAAUCCCCGGGCUCAACCUGGGACCUGCAUCCGAUACUGGCAGGCUAGAGUCUGGUAGAGGGGGGUAGAAUUCCUGGUGUAGCGGUGAAAUGCGUAGAUAUCAGGUGGAAUACCAGUGGCGAAGGCGGCCCCCUGGACUGAGACUGACGCUGAGGUGCGAAAGCGUGGGGAGCAAACAGGAUUAGAUACCCUAGUAGUCC